AUCGAACGCUGGCGGCAGGCUUAACACAUGCAAGUCGAGCGGACGAAGCGUGCUUGUUUGUGGAUUCAGCGGUGGAAGGGUGUGAAUUGCCCAGGAAUCCGCUUGGUAGUGGGGGAUAAAGCCCGGAUACGGGAGCUACUACUGCAUACGAAGUGCUGCUGAUGGAGGGGGGUCUUUGGACCUUAUGGUAUCAGAUGAGUCUAGGUCGGAUUAGCUAGUUGGUGGGGUAAAGGGCUACCAAGGAGGCGAUCCGUAACUGGUCUGAAAGGAUGAUCGGUCACACUGGAGCUGAGACACGGUCCAUACUCCUGCGAGAGGGAGCAGUCGCGAAUGUUAGACAGUGGGCGAGAGCCUGAUCCAGCCGUGCCGCGUGUGUGAAGGAGAUCCUCGGAUUGUGAAGCACUUUAAGGUGUUGGGAAGGGCAGUAAGUUGUUACGUUGCUGUAUUGACGGUACCGGCAGAAUAAGCACCGGCUAACUUCGUG
rnacentral:rRNA from 1 species